rnacentral:rRNA from 1 species
AUGCCUCCUAUUUAUGAUGAUUAUAUUGAUGAAAGUGGGUUUGGAAGAGUUUCAACUUUAGGAAGUAAUGAUCCCACUAUUUUGGAGGGUGUUGAAUCUUAUUGUGAUAAUUAUGAAAGUGGGUUUGGAGAGGUCAUGACUUUAGUUAAUGUUAAUCCCACUAUUUUGGAAGAGUGUCAACUUUGCAUACUUGUAGAUCAUGAAAAGAAUGCUUUAUGUGAUGGUUAUAUUGUUGAAUUCAUUCAUGAUGCUACUGAAAAUUACUAUGAGGGAGGAACAUAUGCUCGUAGGAAUUGCAAUAAUAUCAAGUUUCCUCUCUAUGUGCUUAAAAUCUUGAAGUUAUGCUUGUUUUGCUUUCCUAUGCAAGUUGAUUCUUGUUCCCACAAAUUGUUUGCUCACAAAAUCCCUAUGCAUAGGAAGUGGGUUAGACUUAAAUGUGCUAGUCAUACUCUUUAUGAUACUCUCUUUAUGUUUCAAUUCUUACCUUUUAUGUGA